GAAAAGUCUCUGUUUGGUUUCAGCAGAUUUUAUUUCAUAUAAAUAUGUAAUAUUUUGAAUUGGCAAAUUUAGGCUAUCAUCUAAAAAUAUUCCUGUAAAAGCAGCUUUUUAAUAAGGUUCAAAAGAUUCAAAAAGUGAAUGAUUAGUUUCAAUAUCACACUAUGUAAAUAGAAAAUGUUUGUCGUUUUUAUUACAAUGGAUAAGCCUUUGAUAAUUCCUUAUUUCGAUACAAAGAUUUACAUGUUCAACAUCAAACCUUCCGAAAUUGAAAAUCGUGAAAUCAGAUUAUCAUGGAUAAUUUUUUGGAGCGCUUAACACCAAGUGGAAACUUCGUUAGGAGCUUGUGUAGAGAUAGCAACAUGAGAAAUUCACUGCUUAACGUUUCCGCUAUUGAUCUUUAUUUGAGUUCAAGUUGACACUAUACUUUCUACAAGCCUUUUCAUGGAUUUUCUAAAACAAUU